CCUACCCCUGCUUCUCUUUUUCACAACAUCCUGUUCUCUCCUUUUAGAUCACUUACUACAGUGUUUUAAGAUUUUAUUUUUGUAUUUAUUCAUAAGAGACCCAGAGAAAGAGGCAGAGACACGCGGAGGAGAAGCAGGCUCCCCGCAGAGAGCCCAAUGCGGGACUCAGGACUCGAUCUGGACCAAGGAUCACGCCUUGAGCCAAAGGCAGACGCUCAACCAACCACUGAGCCACCCAGGCAUCCCACUGCAGUGUUAAUUUAGGAUUUAUUGAGCUCCGACUAAGCUCCAAGCAAGCCUUGUUCUAGACUCUCAGAAUCAAUAGGGAACAAAAUAGACAGAAAUACUUGCUCCGGGACCUGACCUGGGUAGGAAGAAGAUGGGGAGGAGAUCGUAGGUUAUGCUUUGAUAAGGCAAAGACAAGAAAUAAAAGACAUUAUAUUGGAGAAGUAAAAUUUGCAGAUGACAUGAUCACCAACAUAAAAAAAUCUGAUGGAAGCUUCCAAAAAAGCUGCUAGAACUGGUAACCAUCUUUCUGCCACCACAAGGUUUCCCUUUCUCUCAGUAUCAAACGACAUUUUCUUCAAGUUCUCACUGACAUCCUCCUCAAAGCUCUAUAGGCUUUUAGUAUCUCCAAGGCCCUGGGAAGAUCCCAUAUGUGUUUUUGGGCUCAGAUUCUCUUGUGCACCUGAGGUCAAGAGGAGCUAGAGCUGGGCCAGCAGGGGACAUUUCUCUCCUCAUCAUGGAGUCCCAGGGCCUCUCCAUGUGGUCUCUCCACAUAGGCUGGUUGGGACUUCCUCCCUGCAUGGCUAUCUUAGAGCAGCCAGACUGCUUGAGAAGCUGAAAGUUCAAGCGUGAGUGUUCCACCUCCCAAGGAAGAAGCUACACUAUCUUUUAUGAUCUUGGAAAUGACCUGUGGAUAGAAGUCACUUUACCAUGGUAUAUGGACCCAAACUAUCACAAGCUCCCCCAAAAUUCAAGGGGAGAAGACUGACUCCACCUCUUGAUGGGGCAGUGUUGAGCUUCUAGAAGACAUCUGGCAAUAAGACAUAUUUUUGUGGCCGUCUUUGCAAAAUACAAUCUGACAUAAUAAGGAAACCCCUCAUUGAUGAAAAUUUCUGUGUGCCAAAUUAAAAAAAAAAAAAACCUCUCAUACCUGAUAAUUAUUUAAUGCAUUUCCUCAUUUUGUCUUUCUUGAGACUUCCUUUGGGGAUUCAGGUAUCAAAACCAGUGGGAUGUUGGAAGUAGCUUACACGAGCUCCUAAAAGCCAAUUGUAAAAUUUUCAGGAAUUCUGCAUGCUGGUUGUUAA
rnacentral:lncRNA from 1 species